UACAGAGGAGCCAAGCGUUGUCCGGAUUGACUGGGCGUAAAGCGCACGCAGGCGGUUGCGCGCGUGGGGUGUGAAAUCUGGCCGCUUAACGGCCAGGCGCCAUCCCAUACGGCGCGACUGGAGUGAUGCAGAGGUCGAUGGAAUUGCCGGUGUAGUGGUGAAAUGCGUAGAGAUCGGCAGGAACACCCAGGGGGAAACCAGUCGACUGGGCAUCUACUGACGCUGAGGUGCGAGAGCGUGGGGAACGAACCGG
rnacentral:rRNA from 1 species